UUGAACGCUGGCGGUAUGCUUAACACAUGCAAGUCGAACGGAAACGAUACUAGCUUGCUAGUAGGCGUCGAGUGGCGGACGGGUGAGUAACGCGUAGGAAUCUGCCUGAUAGUGGGGGAUAGCCCGAAGAAAUUCGGAUUAAUACCGCAUAAUCUAUUCGUAGUAAAGUGGGGGACUUUCGAGCCUCACGCUAUCAGAUGAGCCUGCGUAAGAUUAGCUAGUUGGUAGGGUAAAAGCCUACCAAGGCUACGAUCUUUAGCUGGUCUGAGAGGAUGAUCAGCCACAUCGGGACUGAGACACGGCCCGAACUCCUACGGGAGGCAGCAGUGGGGAAUAUUGGACAAUGGGGGCAACCCUGAUCCAGCAAUACCGCGUGUGUGAAGAAGGCCUGAGGGUUGUAAAGCACUUUCAAUUGUGAAGAAAAGUUAACGGUUAAUAACCGUUAGCCUUGACGUUAACUUUAGAAGAAGCACCGGCUAACUCCGUGCCAGCAGCCGCGGUAAUACGGAGGGUGCAAGCGUUAAUCGGAAUUACUGGGCGUAAAGCGUGCGUAGGCGGUUUAUUAAGUCAGAUGUGAAAGCCCCGGGCUUAACCUGGGAACUGCAUUUGAAACUGGUCAACUAGAGUAUGGUAGAGGAAAGUGGAAUUUCUGGUGUAGCGGUGAAAUGCGUAGAUAUCAGAAGGGAACAUCAAUGGCGAAGGCAGCUUUCUGGACCAAUACUGACGCUGAGGUACGAAAGCGUGGGUAGCAAACAGGAUUAGAUACCCUGGUAGUCCACGCCGUAAACGAUGAUAACUAGCCGUUGGGGGGAUUUACCCUUUAGUGGCGAAGCUAACGCGUUAAGUUAUCCGCCUGGGGAGUACGGCCGCAAGGUUAAAACUCAAAGGAAUUGACGGGGACCCGCACAAGCGGUGGAGCAUGUGGUUUAAUUCGAUGCAACGCGAAGAACCUUACCUGGUCUUGACAUCCUGCGAACUUUCUAGAAAUAGAUUGGUGCCUUCGGGAACGCAGUGACAGGUGCUGCAUGGCUGUCGUCAGCUCGUGUCGUGAGAUGUUGGGUUAAGUCCCGUAACGAGCGCAACCCCUAUCCUUAUUUGCCAGCACGUCAUGGUGGGAACUAUAAGGAGACUGCCGGUGAUAAAUCGGAGGAAGGCGGGGACGACGUCAAGUCAUCAUGGCCCUUACGACCAGGGCUACACACGUGCUACAAUGGGAAGGACAAAGAGCCGCGAAGCCGCGAGGUGUAGCUAAUCUCAGAAACCUUUUCGUAGUCCGGAUUGGAGUCUGCAACUCGACUCCAUGAAGUCGGAAUCGCUAGUAAUCGUAGAUCAGAAUGCUACGGUGAAUACGUUCCCGGGUCUUGUACUCACCGCC
rnacentral:rRNA from 1 species